UGGGGAAUUUUGCACAAUGGGGGAAACCCUGAUGCAGCGACGCCGCGUGAUUUAGAAGGCCUUCGGGUUGUAAAAAUCUUUUUUACGGGAUGAAAAUGACAGUACCGUAAGAAUAAGGUCCGGCUAAAUACGUGCCAGCAGCCGCGGUAAUACGUAUGGACCGAGCGUUGUCCGGAAUCAUUGGGCGUAAAGGGUACGUAGGCGGCCUAAUAAGUUAGAAGUGAAAGAAUAUAGCUCAACUAUAUAAAGCUUUUAAAACUGUUAGGCUUGAGAGAUGAAAGGGAAAGUGAAAUUCCUAGUGUAGCGGUGAAAUGCGCAGAUAUUAGGAAGAAUACCGGUGGCGAAGGCGACUUUCUGGUCAUCAUCUGACGCUGAGGUACGAAAGCGUGGGUAGCAAACAGG
rnacentral:rRNA from 1 species